GGGCGAGCCUCAUGCGACCAGCUCCUGCUCACUCCCCCAGGUCGGAAACGAAGCAAGGGUAGGCGGUUGAGCGGUGCGACAUGAGUUACUUGCCCUAU
rnacentral:SRP_RNA from 1 species